GUGAAUCAUCGAAUUUUUGAACGCAAAUUGCGCUUCCUAGCAUCCCGGGAGGUAUGCCUGUUUGAGGGUCAGUAUUAACAAAAAAAUCGGUUUGGUUGCGAAUGGUGACGUUGCCGGAGUUUGGGCUAUCUUAACUUAUUUGGUGAAGGGGCGUAAAAUUGACCUUUUUUGCGCAUUUUUAGACGUACAUAAAUGUUUGUUUUAUCGGUCAAUUGUUAAUGUGAAAAUCUA
rnacentral:misc_RNA from 1 species